rnacentral:rRNA from 1 species
CGUGUUGUGAGAUGUUGGGUUAAGUCCCGCAACGAGCGCAACCCUUGCCCUUAGUUGCCAUCAUUCAGUUGGGCACUCUAAGGGGACCGCCGGUGACAAACCGGAGGAAGGUGGGGAUGACGUCAAGUCAGCAUGGCCUUUAUGUCUGGGGCCACACACGUGCUACAAUGGCCAGUACAAACCGUUGCAAACUCGCGAGGGUGAGCUAAUCGGAGAAAGCUGGUCUCAGUUCGGAUUGUAGGCUGC